rnacentral:lncRNA from 1 species
AUGCGUGUCACUGGACCGGCCUUGACCUCCCUGUGUCUCAUAGCGCUCUUCGCGCCUUCUCGCUCCCUCGAGUUCGACUCUGGCUCCUGGGGCUCAGGCUCAGGCUCCGGACACGACUCGGAUGUCCCGUGUCCGUGGGAGGGCAGACCAGGUAAACCGUGCGAGCAGAGCCCAGGUUCGUCCGUCAUCUCGACCCCCAUUUUCAUGGAACACGAUCCAACAUUUUGGCUCAUCGACGAUGACCUGUCCACAGGGAGAAACAUGGAUGCAGAACCGACUGCAGUUGUGGAAGAUGACUGGGAUGAACUACCUGAGCAGUGGCCACCAAACGGGAUGCAUACAGAAUGGAUACUUGGAUUGCUGGCUUUGUUUGUGGUCCUCUCGGGACUCUUGACCUUCAUCAUGUACUGUAUCCUCUCUCAAAAGCGACUUCAAGAACGUCUAAAGCUUCAACUUUUGCUUCUCUCCUGUCAAGGAAAAGAAAUAAAGGAGGCAAGAUUCUUGGAAGCAAAGAAAUGUGUUGUGUAACGUUCCGACGUCACACCAUCUGUGGACUCAUCCACAAGUACUCAUAUUAGUCAUAACCUUUUGUUAGGCCAAGCUUCUACACUUCUUCUUCUUCUUUCGUCUGUCGUACAAGGCUGUGAGUAGCAUCAUUGGCUGAGGGCAGGGCUGUGCCGCUGAUGCAGUGCCCCCUGUGGGUUUGUGCAGUAAUUUGUUGAGGGUGGCGGCGGAUGCUCGUCUACUCUUCACAGAGGACACUGGGAUAUUUAACGUCCACCAACUAAUGCCGACAGAAGGGACGCCAGUUUAAUGUCCAUCCGAAGGACACAUCCGAAGGACCUCGCCCUGCCUGUGAGACACCAGGAUGACAGUUUUCAGUUGGGCCGAGAUUCAAACCCAGGCUAGACGGCUCAGAGGCGAGUGUGCAUACCUGUAAGACAUCCUGCCAACUUUUUCUGGACUUGCAUUUUUUUGCCCAUGAAGCAAGAUUUGUAUCCUACGAUUAAUUUGCAAUUGGUCACUGGCUUUGACACCAACACAAAUUUUUAUUACGGACCCCGGGCAUCAAAAAAGCUACAUAUAAUUGAACAAACAGUUUCAAAUGGAGCACCUCACCGCCAUUAGAGUAUUUAACUUGCAUCAGAUGUGGCAAUAAAUGCGAAUUGUUGCUCACAGCUUGCCGGCUCUGACAGAAAACGCCAUUUGCAUCAUUGCCGCCUCCAUCCCUAUCUCAUUUAGAAUCCCGUGUGGGCACCGGAAACUUGCAAGUGUAUAUUAUAAAAGACAAAGCAACAAAUGAUAUUAAUUAGUGAAGUAGCAAUUGAGGUUUUCAUUUUUUAAGAGAGUGAUUGAAUUGAUUAUGUUUUGAUCAGAUUGACUUUUCAUCGCCGAAUGGAAAAUCUUAGUUUGGGAUCACCCCGUGACAUCACUUUGCGAGAAGAUUCCCCAUGAGGGUUAGCAAUCUCUCAGAUGAGCGCCUCACUGUUAUUGUUGGGUUUGGGGUCGUUAUCUUGCAGAAGACCGUAUAAACAGCGAAAGGUUAUCGUACUAGAUCAUAUUUGAGAUAGUAAAUAGGAUUGUCAAGCACAAAAAUAAUCCUAUCGUAAAACCAAAUGAGCUGAGAUCCAAAGUACAAUGGUAUGGUCUACUGAGGAAGAGGGUGAGGGUGAGGUGUGGCGGUGGGGAGGGGUGGUUGCAGAAUAUCACAUGAGUCAUUGAACAAUUUAGUUUAAAUUCACAUUUAAGAGUCACACUGAACACAACUUCACAGUUCAUCCAAACCAUGCAGCGACACAGAACCAAAUGAAUAAAUCAGGGGUUCAGCAGCUCCUCACAUCCCACACCACGUGCUACUUGGCAAUUCUGCAGAGCUUGGUAGACCAGAGCCAUCUGCUACACCACCUGACCCCCGACCCCCAACUCUCCUACUCAUAUGUCCACCUUAUGUGAAAACAUUUGAUUAAUGCAAAAUCAAUCUUAAUCUUGAAAUUCAACUCAUCCAAACCAAAGAGAAACCUUUUAACCCAAAACACAAUUAAUUGCAUAUUCAAAGCUCCUAAUAUUGGGGCUGGUAGCAUACUCUAGGAGGGAAGCAUACUCCCCUCUGAACGGUCGAACCUGGGUUCGAACCUCGGCUCGGAUAUAAACUGUCAUCCCCGUGCUUCACAGGCAGGGCGUAGCAUCAAUGUGUGUGUCGUCCCUUGGAUGGAUGAUAAACUGGGUGUUCAGUCUGCUCGGAUUAGUGGGUGGACGUUAAAAAUCCCAUGGUGUCCGUCACGAAAAGUAGGCAAACUAUUGCCGGCACCGUGAAGAAAUGACAAAUUUCUGUCCAAAUCAGUUGAAAUUCAUGCCUGGCCAGCCAGUUCGUGAGAUUUGGGCUCAAAAACAUACCCUGGCUGACCCCACAAUAGGGUGGAAAUAAUUGGGGCCGUUAAAAAGAUGAAAAAGUAGUGAUUGUAGUUGUAGUGGAACACCUAACGUUUCAGCUCGCUAAAUGUUUACUUAUCUGUGAAAUUUCACCCCAAAAUAAAAGGAAAUGUAUCAGAUUUUUUUUUCAUUGUUUUCUUGAGCAUUUCCUAUCCAUCUUUAUGCGCUCGCUUUUGGUGUUAGAUCAUUAGUCUCACCCCGAAGGGGUUGCAAGACUCUUGCAAAGUGUGUGUGUGUGUGUGUGUGUGUGUGCGUGUGCGUGUGCGUGUGUGUGUGUGUGUGUGCGCACAUCAAGAUGUUGUCACUUUAAGUUUUUGUCCCUCCCUCUGUAACCGCUUGUCCGAUCGAUACAAAACUUUAAACAUAGGAGAGACUUCCCAUGAAGAAUAUUUUAUUGACAGCUCUGACAUCAGAGGUGACGUGAUAUGGCAGCCAUGUUGGAUUAAAGGGGGAAAAAAUUGACAUCUUCUUCUUCUCUGAAACCGCUCAACAAAAAAAAUUGAAACUUGGCCGAUGUCAUCAACUCCCCAUGGGGGUAUAGGUUAACGGUGACAUCGUCGGUGAAGUGGUCUCAGCCAAAAUUGGUUGAACUGAAAUCCUUAUCCGAAAAAAAUUUUGAAACUUCAUACAUCUGAUCUAUGACCGGAUGUGAGUGAAAAAUUAAAUUUAUGACAUCAUCGGCCACGUGGUCUGGCGUACAUAUUAGACUGAAAAAAAAUCGUUUUCUCCAGAACCGUUUAAUAAUUCGAUGUCAAACUUCAUACAUAUGAUCGAAUAGUCAUGGGGAAUAUAGUUUGAAAUGUAUUUCAUAUCCACCUUCAUUGACACGAUUUAGCCUUAAUGUGCACAAAAGAAGUCGUCAAAUAUCCUAAUAAUAAAUAAAGCUACGGAUAAUGGCAAUUUAUGUGACAUAGAGUGCAUGGAUGAUACGGGGUAUAUGGACCAUAAGUGUUAUUUUAGUUUAGAUAUUGUGGUGUGACGUGCCUGCGUAGCAAAUCUUGCAUGUGGUUUUAUUUGCCAGACCUUAGAAAAAUAAAUAAAUAAAAGUAUUAAAAAAUAUAUAUUUCAUUGCCUUGUCGGAGUCCGUGAUCUCCCAGUCACUAUCACUGUAUUCCUAAUAAUUCAGUGGCUUAAAUCAAAACACCUGCAUACCACAAUCAUUCUCCUCUAAAGGGAUUCCACUCCUCUCAAGAUGAUGCUAUGGUCUUAACCUUAAGCAACUGCAAUGUAAAUAAGUAGCAAUCUACUCUCCUUGUUCAGCUUGUAUUAUUACACACAUCUCACUGCUCAGCAAACACACCGACAUGGGUCAUUUCUCUUAGUUUCAGGUCAACAUGCUAGCAUUUCACACCUUUUGAAUGUUGUCGGGCAUAGUAGACUAUGAUAUGAAUUGACUAAUUUAUUUUCCUAUGUUUUGAUUUCAAGGAGACACGUUGGUGUAUGACCCUUAAAUGUUAUUUAAUCUGUGGAGCUGACACAAUAAGAACACCUGUGAUUGUUCCCCCACACCCUGCUGUUCCGCAAACGAUGAACAAAUACUUGGUACUGUUAUCGUGUACUCUUAGAUUGCCUCUGUGCCCUAGUGUGGACACACCGUACCACCCCCUCCACAUGCAUUGUGCUAAAUCGAUAUGUACCACAUUUAUUAAAGUACAAAUUAAAAAUAUAGUUGCCUCCAUUAUUAUUAUUUUGUAUGCAGCCUAUAACUGCUGGUUGCAUCAUUGCCUGGAGUGUGGCUGUGCCACUGAUGCAGUGCCCCCGUUUCCAGUAAGCUGGUACUCAUAUUGCUGACCACGGAAGGAUGACAGGCUGAAUCAAUCCACCUGGUGUUGUUUAACCGCACGACGAGGACUCAAACUCAAGACCCUAAGAUCUUAAGCAAGCCCCCAUAACCGUUAAACCAACACCAGGCUUGUUGUCUCCAUUUAGUAAUUUGUAUUUUUUUGUUGUUGUUGAAACAAUCUGUUGCUUCUGCCGUUGGAUCAAUUCCUAAAUGACAAAAUGAAUGGUACAUUUACAUGUCACGUUUUUGGCAGGCAGUGCAUGGAUUAUCCAUCCAUGUCCAGUGUUUGCUGUGGUGUUCAAUGCAGUAGAUUUACAAAUCCUCAAAUGACAAUGACAAGUUAAGACUUGUAAAGUUUGACUACUCAUCGAGCAAUUCCAUGCUCUCUGCAGCACAUCUUCAUUCACAAAACCCGCAUUGUGCAGAUCAGGUAACAUCGAGUCCUUUUCUCCACCUGACAUCACAGUCCAUGCAGCUCCCCAACAGCAGCCAUGUAAAUAAAAAAAUUAACGACUUGAGAAAUUGUUCUUUGUUCAUGGCAUUGAUGAAGCAUGUACAUUAUUUUGGUGGAGUUAUAUUUUUCAAAAUCUAUGCAUAUUUAGAAACUCAAAUUCACAUCACCUGGCUUAAAAAGAAGUCACCAUAGGUGGAGGUGGAAAGUGAGCCGAUUUAGUGUAUCCAUCUGAGCACUCAUGAAGCUGGAAUCCCAGGUUCAAUUGCCAUAUCCUGUUGCGAUUUGUCCAUUGUCAACUAAUGUCCUUUUAAUUCAAGGAAAAGUGUAAUGAUGUUACCCAUCGUCAUGGCUGUGUGUUUAAACUCCUAAAUCCAGAUUCACUGCUCACCUCCACUCAUUUAUUCCUCUUUUUCCCCACCUGUGGAACCAACAUCCUCAGUCUCUUGCCCACCCCACACAUUUCUGCUGCUGUUUUCAUUCUGUUACGGCCUAAUCCAUUCUAUGUUCUAGCUCCCCACGAGCCUCACCAUUAUAUACAAAAAACACCUUAACCUAAUGUUUAAAAUAAUUCAUUUUGAUGCACCAUAUUCUUUUUAUGCUGGAUAAAGCUUAUUUAUAACCGUCGAGACUCCCUGUGCACCACAUGUAUUUUAAAUUAUCAAUUAUAAAUUUUGGCCUAUCUGGAACCAAUUGCACCAAGAUGCCC